GACUCUUGCUAACUCUCUGAAUAUGAAGUAGGCUAUAUGCAAAUGUAUUUGUUCAUAAUGAGCUUUGAGCAUCCCUCCUCCUCUCUGAGGAUGAAAUCAGUAUACAGACUUCUUAAGGCACAUCGGUAAUCUUCCUGAAGCGAACAGGAGAUGAUUAAGCUCACUCUGCAUCAUCGUGAGCCUGUUGAAAGACAUUUUCCUCAUGAAGUUCUGCUUCACUCUAAAAUAACGCAGCAAUUGAAUUUGGAACCAUUUCAGGAUGAAGUUCAAAGAAGAUAUCAAUCUUUUUGGGUGCUAUUUACCAUGUAAUAAUAAGGAAAUGGCGAUGAUUAUUACCUUUGCCAAUGUUGUUUAUUUUUUUAUUUGGAUGGAAUUGUAUCUCUUUUGGGUGAAGUGAUUCACUCUGUAUGCUGUGCUGACUCUCAAAUCAAGGGGAAGGAUUCCAGAGCAAUUAAUAAUUCAUGAACUUUAAAGGGCUUUCUAGAGAUGCUCCUUUAAGACAACACUGCAGACAUACUCUAUCUUUAAUCAGGUCUACUUUUAGGAGCUCAGGGAAUUUUGAAUUCUUACAAAACCUCUACAAUAGACAAAUUGAGAAAUGAAGCAUAUGGAGAUUCAUUCAUUGCAGACAAAGCUGUUUCUGUUGUUACUUAAAUCCAAGUAAGAAGGGAUUGACAAGAUAAAGUGGAAGACAAAGUUGGACCACCUUUUAGAAACCUUAAAUUCGCUGCCAACAACAAUACUGCAUCUAAAUGACUCGCCCUGCAGGCGUUUCAGAUUCCAACCUCUAUAAUAAUAUUUACUUUCAAUUUUUGUUGUUGAACUAGAUUGUCAAAGAAUUCAGACAUUUUGUUACAAGGCAGCCAAUGGAUAAUUGUACAAGGAGUAAAUUGAGACAGAAAGGUUUAAAUAUAUUUAUUUUCUUAUUAAUGUACAGACUCAUGAACACCUCUCUCACCUGAGUUAUACAGAACAAAUAACUUUAAACUAGUGAUAAUAUUUUAACUAAAGAAAGUAACUGCUUUGCUGGUCAUUCUCACCUGCUACUUCAUUUUCUCAAAAGAAAACAAAAAUCAUCUAUUUGUUUAAAGUUUACCACUCCCAGUUAAACAGUAUGUGUCAGGAAAACAUGAGAGAUACAUGAGAUGCAUAAUAGCCCACGAGGGACGGUGUAGCAAGUGACACCUGAGAGAGAGAGAAAAGAGAACAGAUCUUCAUAAUUUGAUCUUGAUUAUUUUAGCAUUCUGGAAACUAUGGAAAGAGUUUGGCAUAACAAUAAAAAAUUCACAUUUUUCAAGUGUCUAAAA